UACGGGGGGGCAAGCGUUGUUCGGAAUUACUGGGCGUAAAGGGCUCGUAGGCGGCCAACUAAGUCGGAUGUGAAAUCCCCAGGCUUAACCUGGGAAUUGCAUCCGAUACUGGAUGGCUUGAAUCCGGGAGAGGGAUGCGGAAUUCCAGGUGUAGCGGUGAAAUGCGUAGAUAUCUGGAGGAACACCGGUGGCGAAGGCGGCAUCCUGGACCGGCAUUGACGCUGAGGAGCGAAAGUCAGGGGAGCAAACGGG
rnacentral:rRNA from 1 species